GAUGAACGCUGGCGGCGUGCCUAAUACAUGCAGGUCGAGCGAACAGAUAAGGAGCUUGCUCCUUUGACGUUAGCGGCGGACGGGUGAGUAACACGUGGGUAACCUACCUAUAAGACUGGGAUAACUUCGGGAAACCGGAGCUAAUACCGGAUAAUAUUUCGAACCGCAUGGUUCGAUAGUGAAAGAUGGUUUUGCUAUCACUUAUAGAUGGACCCGCGCCGUAUUAGCUAGUUGGUAAGGUAACGGCUUACCAAGGCGACGAUACGUAGCCGACCUGAGAGGGUGGUCGGCCACACUGGAACUGAGACACGGUCCAGACUCCUACGGGAGGCAGCAGUAGGGAAUCUUCCGCAAUGGGCGAAAGCCUGACGGAGCAACGCCGCGUGAGUGAUGAAGGUCUUCGGAUCGUAAAACUCUGUUAUUAGGGAAGAACAUACGUGUAAGUAACUGUGCACGUCUUGACGGUACCUAAUCAGAAAGCCACGGCUAACUACGUG
rnacentral:rRNA from 1 species